CAGAGGUGUCAAACGUUGUCCGGAAUUAUUGGGCGUAAAGGGCGCGUAGGCGGCCGGGUAAGUGAGAUGUGAAAGCUCUGGGCUCAACCCAGGAAUUGCAUUUCAUACUGCUCGGCUCGAGAUUGGUAGAGGAUGGCGGAAUUCCAGGUGUAGCGGUGAAAUGCGUAGAUAUCUGGAGGAACACCUGUGGCGAAGGCGGCUAUCUGGUCCAAUUCUGACGCUGAGGCGCGAAAGGUAGGGGAGCAAACAGGAUUAGAUACCCUGGUAGUCCUACCCGUAAACGAUGAGUACUAGGUGUUGGAGGUAUUGACCCCUUCAGUGCCGUAGCUAACGCAAUAAGUACUCCGCCUGGGAACUACGGUCGCAAGACUG
rnacentral:rRNA from 1 species